UACGUAGGGUGCAAGCGUUGUCCGGAAUUAUUGGGCGUAAAGAGCUCGUAGGCGGUUUGUCGCGUCGGCUGUGAAAACUCGGGGCUCAACCCCGAGCCUGCAGUCGAUACGGGCAGACCAGAGUGCUGUAGGGGAGACUGGAAUUCCUGGUGUAGCGGUGAAAUGCGCAGAUAUCAGGAGGAACACCGGUGGCGAAGGCGGGUCUCUGGGCAGUAACUGACGCUGAGGAGCGAAAGCGUGGGGAGCGAACAGG
rnacentral:rRNA from 1 species